UACGGAGGGGGCUAGCGUUGUUCGGAAUUACUGGGCGUAAAGAGCUCGUAGGCGGCUGCUCAAGUCGAAUGUGAAAACUCGAGGCUCAACCUCGAGACGCCGGUGGAAACCAUCAGGCUAGAGUCCGGAAGAGGAGAGUGGAAUUCCUGGUGUAGCGGUGAAAUGCGCAGAUAUCAGGAAGAACACCCGUGGCUAAGGCGGCUCUCUAGUACGUGACUGACGCUGAGACGCGAAAGCGUGGGGAGCGAACAGG
rnacentral:rRNA from 1 species